rnacentral:rRNA from 1 species
UACGUAGGGCGCAAGCGUUGUCCGGAAUUAUUGGGCGUAAAGAGCUCGUAGGCGGUCUGUCACGUCGGAUGUGAAAUCUCGGAGCUUAACUUCGAAACUGCAUUCGAUACUGCCGUGCUUGAGGACUGGAGAGGAGACUGGAAUUUACGGUGUAGCGGUGAAAUGCGUAGAUAUCGUAAGGAAGACCAGUGGCGAAGGCGGGUCUCUGGACAGUUCCUGACGCUGAGGCACGAAGGUCAGGGGAGCAAACGGG